GACGAAGGGGGCUAGCGUUGUUCGGAAUUACUGGGCGUAAAGCGUGCGUAGGCGGUGGCCCAAGUCUGGUGUGAAAUCUCCCGGCUUAACUGGGAGGGUGCGCCGGAAACUGGGUUGCUGGAGUACCGGAGAGGCAAGCGGAAUUCCUGGUGUAGCGGUGAAAUGCGUAGAUAUCAGGAGGAACACCCGUGGUGUAGACGGCUUGCUGGACGGUCACUGACGCUGAGGCACGAAAGCGUGGGGAGCAAACAGG
rnacentral:rRNA from 1 species